rnacentral:lncRNA from 1 species
CGACUUAAAUAAUUUAAAUGAUAACAAAAGAGCGGUUGCUCUCUGAUCUAAUUGCAGACACAAUCUGCAGAACCGUCUUCUAUGGGAUUUGAACUUGUGAAGUGUGAGGUGGAGACCUGAAUGUAACAAAUUGGUGUUAAGUGAAUAAUUCCAAACAUAUAAAAUUUAGAUCAUCACACCGAACGCAAACAGAACAAUUAAAUAAACAACUGAAGGCAUACGCAAUCUAAUUAGACAAAUAAGUGAACUUUCCCAUGCCGAAAUCUGAAAGGCCAACAGAAAUAUCUCAUUACAGCACAGAAGACAAAACUUAGGACAAAACUUAAAACUAAUCAAACUUAGGUGAACCAAUUAUAGAGAACAUAACCCUUGUAACCAAUCGGGAAAAGAUGCUUUUAAAUCCCAGAAAAAAAAAUUAAGAGGAGUUUUUUAAAAAACCAUCAUUUCAAUUAUUUUCCAGUCUUACAUUUGGAUUAAACAGAAAAUAUAAGUAAAAAUGCCAACUUUCUAAAAAAACUACAACUAUUUUUACAAAUUUCCAUUACCCAAUGCUGAAAAAUGAGAAUCACGAAGCAAUGAAGAACGGAACACGCGAGAACCAAAAAGUUAAAAACAACACGUAACCAUUUCAAAGACCCAAAAUCCUGCAAGGACAAAAAAAUCCCAUAAAAUCAGUACAUCAGCACUCCCUGCAAAACCCCAAAAUCAGAAAAUUAUAAAAAGAACCCAAAAUCAGUGGCAUGGUCCUCGUUUCUCCAUCAUUCAGUAGCUAAUGACCUAAUGGAAAAGAACCCAAAACAUACAGCUUAAAAUAUGGAAAGUGCUUAUAAAAGCUCAUGAAUAACGUUCAAAGCCUGCAUAGAAAUGGUAUAGCGCAGAUAACAACAAACAAUAAAACUAUGCACAGUAUAACCUAAAUCCGAUAUGUUGCAUUCCCCACACACAGAUUGUUCAAAAUUAAUUUCGUCUCCGUCUUUUUUCAAAUCUGAUAAAAUCCCCAAAACACAAAAAAUAGCAGCUAACUAUUUUUUGAACUCUGUAAACAACGAUAUGCAUCUUAACCCAUUUAACAUAUUCAUAAAAUAACAUCAAACACAUUUAUGCAUGAGAUAAUAUAGAAGUGAAGUCUCACAACUUUCAUAAAAAAUUAUUACUUUGUUAGAGAAAGGCUUGAAAAAAUAUGUAAAUUACUCACCUCUAUUACAAAAAUGUUACAACAGUAGACAAAAAAGGCCAAAAAUACCAAAAGCCGCACCUCCUGAAAUAAAAAACAUAACCAAACGACACAUUCUCAGUAUCUAAACGAUAUCCAGAAAAAAAGAAAUGAACAGACGAAACCCAUGUAAAUAUACAGAACAAACCAAAAAAAAAAAAAAGAACUGAAGCCAGUAAGAAGAUCACAAAUCUGAUAAAGCAAAAGGUAACAUAAUCUAUAUCGAUUUAAUUAUCCAUCCAAAAAGACAUUUGAAUGAAGAACAUUUUUAAGGAUCCAAACAACCAUUAAACUAAACAAUUAAAAGUAAAAACAGCAAAGCAUUCAUUGAAGAAAUAUAUAUAUAUAUAUAUAUUAUAACGUAUUUUGUUCUUUAUACCUAAAAGAAAAACAUUGGCUUUCUUGUAUGCACUGAAGUAUGCAUGUGUCGGAAAUUUACAAUCUAUAGAGACUCAAUCUCAGACUCAAAAAGACAUCUAAAGGAAAAGUAAUAAGAAAAAUAAGUAGUGGUUUUACCUAUACUCCAUGUGUGGACUCCAAUUUUCAAUCACAAUUCAAAAUUCAAGAGGCCUAUAAAUCAACCACAUAGGAAAUGAUCAGUGGAAGAAAAAGAAAAACAACUGAAGCCAAAAUAGCAUCUAACAAAUCAUUUAGAACCAUCACAGAAAACAAUUUUUGCAUAUAAGUAAUUUAAAGGAAUACCAUCAGGUCAUGCAUAUAUACAACGUACCCAAUUAGAUAAGUAGCACAUCAACAAUUGAUGAUCAAAAAGUUAGUCAGCCUCAAUUGCUUGAAUCUAAUUAACUCAAAGAUAAUAAACAGUCCAUUUAAUGCACGGGCUGACUAUCAAUUUUAUAAAGCUAUAAUUCUGUGCAGUUCAAAAACCAAGUGGAAGAAUAGGCAAAAACUAUCUCAUCGCCUGUAAAUGUAAUUAACUAAAUAUUAAACUUCACAGCCACAAAUAAACCUAAAUUCCUCCUAAAACUAUCUCAUUUAAGCUUGAUUUUACUAUAAUCUAUAAGUGUGGUAAAAAAUGGGAGGCCAAACGAUUUGUUAACAAAAAAGGUAGACAUAAAAGUAAAAGGAACAGGGCAGACAUUAGUUGAGGAGAAGCUAAUGUCACCUUGAAUUGACGACAAACAGUUCUUAUCUUCUCGAAUUAACGAAGAUAAGUACCAUUUUUCUUUAAUUCAAGGUAAUAUAAAAAGAAAUUAUACCUGUACAGUGUUCAGAUGUAGCAAUCCUAUGCAAUCGGCCAAAUGAUGUGUGUCCUCUCAAAGAUCUGUAUAUCCAUUACAGACUAAUCUUCAGUCUUGCAGAAAAUGAUAUGUUGACUACAAUUUCCCAUACUACUAAAAAACACAAAUAAUUCUAUCUACAAACCAAAUAAUAUGUGCAACUUUAUGCUACAAUGGUAGAAUAAGAUGGUUGUACAGGACGACACAAAGAUUGAGACUUUUUUUUACUUCUAAAAUUCUACACACUUUCGAGCCCUAAAUUUUCCCGGAAACAAAAAAAAGUGAAAGAAGUCGUACCUGGUUUGAGAGAGUGGGACACCAUCGGCGAGUUUGGUGUAGCAGUGAUGGCGGAGAUCUCUGGUGAGAAAGCUAAUAAGAUGGACAAAAUCAUUGAACAAAAAAAACCUCGCUUUUUAAAAUUAAAGUCAACAAAAAUUUGAACAAAGAAAAGAGAACUCAAACCCGAAACAAAUAAGUCGGAGAACUCGCCAGGAAACCCAAAGUUUCUGCAGGAUUGGCGAUUUCCUGAAAACCAAGCUUUUGUAGGUUUAAAAUUUCUUCCCUAAGGCAACAGAUCCAACAUUCCCAACUUUAGCUAUUUCAGCUACAUAAUAGAAAGAAAAAAAAAUUUAUAUAAUUAACUAAUCUGAUUUAAGAUUAAUCGAAAAGCUUGGAAAUUUCAGCUUUAAAAUUACAUGUCAGGCUGCAAAUCUAAUAAAAAGCGUAGAAUUUUAAAAAUGCUGACCUUAAAUACAGAGGCCUUCGCAGGCUGCAAAGAAGCGUUAGAAACCCGAAAAACCGGAUCUCCUGAAACCAAAAACAAAACCAAAUUAACCAUCAUCACCCAUAAUUCGAAGCCACAAACAUAAUCCCCAAAAUUACAACCCAAAAAUUUAAACAAAAAAACCCAUUUAUAAAUCCAAAUUUACACUCCCAAGUGCAAGACUCUAAGCUCCAACUGUUCUUUCUCAACUUUAGCUAUUUCAGCAACAUAACAUAAAUAAAAAGGUCGUACCCAGUGCACAAGGCUCCCGCUUUACGCAGGGUCUGGGAGAGGUGAAUGUCGGCUAGCCUUACCCCCAUUUUAUGGAGAGGCUGCUCCCAAGUCUCGAACCCGAGACCUACCGCUCAUGGGCGAAGACACUUGCCAUCGCACCAAGUGCGACCUCUAGCAACAUAACAUAAAUAAAAAGAUCGUACCCAGUGCACAAGGCUCCCGCUUUACGCAGGGUCUGGGAGAGGUGAACGUCGGCUAGCCUUACCCCCAUUUUAUGAAGAGGCUGGAACAUAACAUAAAUAAAUAAACAAAAUUAAUUUAACUAUAAUUAACUAAUAUGAUUUAAGAUUAAUCAAAAAACUUGGAAAUCUGCUUGAAUCCAAUCUCAAAAUUGAAAACGAACACUUCACUUUUACAAAAGUUGUACAAAGCAAAAAAAAAAAAACAGACAAAUCAAAGUCUCACAAAGGGCCACAACGACAGCAAAAUUGCAACAGAAAGAGGAAAAAUGUUCAAUCAAACCAUUGGAUAACUCUUCUAAGGCAGCCAAAAAAAAACCCACAAAUUCAAAACCACAAAAAUCCAAUCUAAAACAUCGAUUCACAGACUGAGAUGCACAAAAUGAUAUAUUAACAAAUCCAAAACGAAAUACAAAAAUUAAGAACCAACAAGCAAAAAAAUACUGAUUAUCCCCUGCAUACGUGAGCACACGUUCAAAAAGCCUCUCAAAGGCUGAGAUUCAACUUUCAAACAUAAAGACUUUAAGCCACAAUUGUUCUUUCUUAACUUUAGCUACUUCAGUUACAUAAUCGGAAAAAAAAAAUUAUUUAAUUAUAGUUAACUAAUCUGGGUUAAGAUUAAUAAAAAAGCUUGGAAAUUUCAGAUCUAAAAUCACACCUCAGGCUGCAAGUAGAAUCAAAACCAUGGAAUUUCAAAAUCACUGACCUUAAACACACAGGUCUUCGCAGGCUUCAAAGAAAAGUCACAAACUCGAAAAACCCAAUCUCCUGAAAUCGAAAACAAAACCAAAUUAACCAUCAUCACCUAGAAUCCGAAGCUACAAAACAAAAUUCCCAAAAUCAAAACCAAAAAAUUUGAACAAAAAACUCAUUUAAUAUCCAAAUUUACACUCCCAAGCACAUAACAUUCAAAGCAGACAAUUACCCAAAUCAAAUCGACAGCAGGAGAUGCAAUCUUUUAUGGGCUUCAAAUUUUCUUCAAACCGAGACCAAAUUCGCUAGUUUUCAGCAAGAGAGCGUUGCCGUUUGUAACCCCCGAUGAAAAGAUCCAAACAAAUUUGACUAACAGUAGACAGAGAGAGAGAGAGAUAGAGAGAGAGAGGUGAAAAUUACUCGCUGGUGACGAAGCUAAUGAAUUCGGAGACGCAUUCCUGGACGGUGUUCGACUGAUCGGCACGAGUAGAGACACCAGAUCAGAAAGACAGAAAAAUUAGGGUUUGGGAGAUAAAGAAACUGGGGCAGAGAGAGAGGGAAAGAGAAGCAGAAAAGAGGAUAAUUUUAUGCAUUUUUUUUAGCCGCUUUGAAUUUUUUUUGGCCGACAGGCAUUUGCGUCCGAUUAUUUUUGUCGAAGCCGGUGACACCAAAACCGGCCUCCGGCUUUCGGACCAGGAUUGUCUGCCCCUUCAUUUUCCCUGCCAUGU